rnacentral:rRNA from 1 species
UACGGAGGAUCCAAGCGUUAUCCGGAUUCACUGGGUUUAAAGGGUGCGUAGGUGGAAUGACAAGUCAGUGGUGAAAACCUGCAGCUUAACUGUAGAACUGCCAUUGAUACUGUUAUUCUUGAGUACAUUUGAUGUGAGUGGAAUGUGUCGUGUAGCGGUGAAAUGCUUAGAUAUGACACAGAACACCAAUUGCGAAGGCAGCUCACAAAAACUGUAACUGACACUGAGGCACGAAAGCGUGGGAAGCAAACAGG